rnacentral:rRNA from 1 species
ACGUUUGUGCUUGCUACACUUGAGAGAGAGUUCCAAAGCAAUUGACCUGGCUUUGCCGGUUGGUGUGAGUAGGCUCUCUGUCAAAACCCUUGUCUUUUUGCGCACUCUUGUUUCCUCGGCGGGUCCGCCCGCCGGUUGGACAAAAAUUACACCCUUUUUCAGUUUUCAAUCAGCGUCUAAAUGAAUUAUAAUAAUUACAACUUUCAACAACGGAUCUCUUGGUUCUGGCAUCGAUGAAGAACGCAGCGAAAUGCGAUAAGUAGUGUGAAUUGCAGAAUUCAGUGAAUCAUCGAAUCUUUGAACGCACAUUGCGCCCCUUGGUAUUCCAUGGGGCAUGCCUGUUCGAGCGUCAUUUGUACUCUCAAGCUAUGCUUGGUGUUGGGUGUUUGUCCUUUCUUUUAUGCCUGGACUCGCCUUAAAUCAAUUGGCAGCCGGUAUAUUGGUCUCAAGCGCAGCACAAUGCUUGCUUGUAGCCGAUUGUAUCAGCCCCCAGUAAGCAAAUUAACACGCUUGACCUCGGAUCAGGUAGGGAUACCCGCUGAACUUAAGCAUAUCAAAA